rnacentral:lncRNA from 1 species
CAGACGUUCACUUUUGGUCACUGUCAAGGACAACCGGGCUGAAUCCACAUCUUGCACAAGCAGGGGCAAAGCCUGUGGGACAGCAGGAACACUGGUGAGUUUGGUGGCCCCAUGACAGAACCAGAAGCAGCAGUGAGACACUGGAGCUGGAGGUCAGCUGUUCAUACUCAGAAACUCUGGAAGGGUAAUCUGCUUCAAAGGCUUCUGCUACCCGCUACUUCCUGGAAAGGACACUGCCAGUUUCCCUCCCCUCCCCACCACAGUUAACUUCAGGAAAUCCUGGAUUGUGAACCCCAAC